rnacentral:rRNA from 1 species
GACGAACGCUGGCGGCGUGCUUAACACAUGCCAGUCGAACGGAAAGGCCCUGCUUUUGUGGGGUUCUCGAGUGGCGAACGGGUGAGUAACACGUGAGUAACCUGCCCUUGACUUUGGGAUAACUUCAGGAAACUGGGGCUAAUACCGGAUAGGAGCUCCUGCUGCAUGGUGGGGGUUGGAAAGUUUCGGCGGUUGGGGAUGGACGCGCGGCUUAUCAGCUUGUUGGUGGGGUAGUGGCUUACCAAGGCUUUGACGGGUAGCCGGCCGGAGAGGGUGACCGGCCACAUUGGGACUGAGAUACGGCCCAGAGUCCUACGGGAGGCAGCAGUGGGGAAUAUUGCACAAUGGGCGGAAGCCUGAUGCAGCAACGCCGCGUGCGGGAUGACGGCCUUCGGGUUGUAAACCGCUUUCGCCUGUGACGAAGCGUGAGUGACGGUAAUGGGUAAAGAAGCACCGGCUAACUACGUG